rnacentral:rRNA from 1 species
AGCGAACGCUGGCGGCAGGCCUAACACAUGCAAGUCGAGCGCUCGUAGCAAUACGAGAGCGGCAGACGGGAGAGUAACACGUGGGAACGUACCCUUUGGUUCGGAACAACCCAGGGAAACUUGGGCUAAUACCGGAUAAGCCCUUACGGGGAAAGAUUUAUCGCCGAAGGAUCGGCCCGCGUCUGAUUAGCUAGUUGGUGGGGUAACGGCCCACCAAGGCGACGAUCAGUAGCUGGUCUGAGAGGAUGAUCAGCCUCACUGGGACUGAGACACGGCCCAGACUCCUACGGGAGGCAGCAGUGGGGAAUAUUGGACAAUGGGCGCAAGCCUGAUCCAGCCAUGCCGCGUGGGUGAUGAAGGCCCUAGGGUUGUAAAGCCCUUUCGGCGGGAAGAUAAUGACGGUACCCGCAGAAGAAGCCCCGGCUAACUUCGUGCCAGCCGCCGCAGUAACACCUGAGACUCCAAGGCACAC